rnacentral:rRNA from 1 species
GACGAACGCUGGCGGCGGGCUUAACACAUGCAAGUCGAACGGAAAGGCCCUGCUUUCGUGGGGUGCUCGAGUGGCGAACGGGUGAGUAACACGUGAGUAACCUGCCCUUGACUUUGGUAUAACUUCAGGAAACUGGGGCUAAUAUCGGAUAGGAGCUCCUGCUGCAUGGUGGGGGUUGGAAAGUUUCGGCGGUUGGGGAUGGACUCGCGGCUUAUCAGCUUGUUGGUGGGGUAGUGGCUUACCAAGGCUUUGACGGGUAGCCGGCAUGAGAGGGUGACCGGCCACAUUGGGACUGAGAUACGGCCCAGACUCCUACGGGAGGCAGCAGUGGGGAAUAUUGCACAAUGGGCGGGAGCCGGAUGCAGAAACGCCGCGGGCGGGAUGACGGCCUUCGGGUUGUGAAACGCUUUAGCCUGUGACGCAGCGUGAGUGACGGUAAUGGGUAAAGAAGCACCGGCUAACUACGUG